rnacentral:lncRNA from 1 species
CUCAUUUAAUGUAUAGUUUUAUUUUAUUAUUCUCCCUUUGGUUCUUUCUUACUGUAGUUUUAUAUUUAUAACGGAAAAUUACAACUUUUUCACUAGAAGAUUGGAUUCCGUUCACAGGUUAUUGUUAAAAAUACUUUUCAAGAAAUUGAAAAUGUGAUAGCCGAUAUGAACCUUUAAACAUUAACCUUUUUCAACAAUACAUUGUUUACAUUCUCUUUUGGUAUAUACGCAGCAUUCCACGUGUUUUUAACAAUAUAGAGAAUGUGCAUGAAUGAGAAGAAAAGGCAGAUCAUAGUAAUUUACAAUAAAGGUCAAUGACCUCACUUUGUGUGUAGAUCUAUAUAGUUGUUCAUGUCUGAUUAUGUUUUUCUUCCCAAGCCAUAAAGGUCUUAUCUGUGGGUUCAAUAAAGAUGGCGACUUCGUUAAAUUAAUUUUAAUUUUCUUAAAUGAAUAUUUAUUUGGAUUUUGUUAUUCUUGAUACCACGUCAAAACAACGUGUUACUUCUCUUA